UCGAAACCCUAAUCUUGAAAACAGUUGUUAUUUUCCCGUCUCUCCGCUUCGCUCAGAGCAAUCUUCAACCUUUCGAAGGAGAAAUGAGUCGCUCAAGCAGAACGCUAUAUGUUGGCAAUCUUCCUGGUGACGUUCGUGAACGGGAAGUUGAAGAUCUCUUCUACAAAUAUGGACCAAUAGCUCAUAUAGAUUUGAAAAUCCCGCCAAGACCUCCUGGCUAUGCAUUUGUUGAGUUUGAAGAGGCUCGUGAUGCUGAAGAUGCCAUUCGAGGACGUGAUGGCUAUGAUUUUGAUGGGCACCGCCUGCGGGUAGAGCUUGCACAUGGUGGGCGUGGGCAUUCAUCAUCAAUAGAUCGGUACAGUAGCCAUAGUGGUGGUCGAGGUAGUCGAGGAGGAGUGUCAAGGCGUUCUGAGUAUCGUGUGUUGGUCACUGGACUACCUAGUUCUGCAUCAUGGCAGGACCUUAAGGAUCACAUGCGUCGAGCUGGGGAUGUCUGUUUCUCCCAGGUUUUCCGUGAUGGAAGUGGUACUACUGGAAUUGUCGACUACACAAACUAUGAUGACAUGAAAUAUGCAAUUAGGAAACUUGAUGACUCUGAAUUUCGGAAUGCCUUCACUCGUUCAAUUGUUCGGGUAAGAGAAUAUAAGUCAAGCCGGAGUCGGAGCAGGAGCUAUUCUAGGAGCCGUAGCCGCAGUCGUUCUAACUCAAGAGGCAGGAGCUACAGUCGCAGCGUGUCUCGAAGCAGGAGUAAGUCCCCAAAAGCCAAGACUUCACGCCGCUCACCUGCUCGAUCCCGUUCAAGAUCUGCUUCUCGUUCGCGUUCAGGAUCAAAGCCACGUUCUUUGUCAAGAUAUGGAUUUAUGCGGCGAUCUGGGGAUUGCUUAUUAGGAUCUUGUUGGGAUAUGGUUCAAAUGCCUGCAACUCUUUUGGUUGUGGAGAUUGGGAACAAAGAAGAUCAUGGAUUGCGAUGGUAAAGCUGGACUAUGUACUAGGUGCUAUUGGAAAUUGGGAACCACCAUCGAUCUGCGGUGGGAACAAUUUACUAUCACUGCUUUUUCAGCAUUGCCAAGUAAUAAGGCAUGGUAUCUGGAUUCUUUGUUGGUCAUCCUGUCUACUGGUGUCUUAACAACUAUAGCAUUGCUUUCAUUGAGGUCUGCUUUAUGACUUUUACUGGACCCUUUUAUUUAUCGGAGGCAUAUGGUCUUUUCAUAUUUCUCUAUUGGUCUGCUAAAUUUUUGUGCCUUUCUUUUUAUCCAUUUGAUUGUGGUAUCUAUGACGUGGAAGAGGCAUCGAGGCUCUUGGAUCAGUUAAAAGGAACUUGUGGAUAUUAAAAUGAGUUGUUUCUGGAACUUUUGCAGAUCUCCUUCAAGAUCCAGAUCUCCUGUACCAUCUCGUCAGAAGCGCAAGAGUAAAAGCCCAAAAAAGCAGAGUCCUAGCCGGAGCCGUAGCCCUCCGAGUCCAGCCAAGAGCAGGAGCAGGAGCAGGAGUAAGAGUGUAUCCAG